CCAGGGUUCUCUUCUUCCCCUCUCAUUUUGCAUUUAUCACUAAAAUUUCUCUAUGAAACAAAAUAAUGAACUUUAGAAAUUGUUCUUAAAUGUUAAGAAUCGAAGAGUAUUAUAGCUAGAGAAUCAUCAUGCUAUUGUUGUUGGAGAGCUCUUGAGGAUGGAGAUGCAAUUGAGUAAUGGUAGGGAAUCAGGGAUUGCUAGGCUAAAUGAAGAGGUUACUCCACUUAUGCUAGCAUACUAAAUUACUUUGGUUUGUAUAUUUAGUAGUGGGUGCGAAUGUAGAAUUUAUUCUUGAUAUUCAUCCAUUCAUGACCUUAUUUUUACGUAAAUGAAAUUAUAAGAAAGUGUCAAUCUAAUGGUGCUUGUGGUAUGGAUGUUUUUUUUAUAGUUAAAGAAUGGAAGUGUUGUCCCGACAACCUUAACAUAGUUUUCUUUUUUGGGAUACUUGCAAAAUGUAAAUGUAUGGCGGCAUGUAUAAAACAAUUAUAUUCUACUGUUAAGUCUAAGCUGCGGGUACAUGUACGGAGUUUAAGCUGCAGGUACAGGAUUAUGAAUGAACACAAUUUUUACUUGAGUGGCGUAUCAGAGAGUCGGAGCUGUCAAAGCGGGCCGAAACCCGGUUCCUUGGAAGUCCAGAUUCUCUGGUCCGUUACAGUUGGUAUCAGAGCAGUUUCGGUUCAGACUGGACUGUGCGUAUUGGUAACUCAUCAGCGUUCUGCUCGUGCGGUGAUCACUGGUAACAUUCUUUACCUGUAGUUUUAUUUUGAACUUCGGGACGAAUUUGUUUUUAAGAAGUUAAUGGUGUAACAACCCAAAGUUUUUCUUCUCGGGUUUAACUUAACCCAUUAGUCGAAUUCUGCACCUUGAGUGCCUAUAAUGAUAUUCAUGUAUUUUUAUCACUAAAGUUGCCUCAAAUAAUAUGUAUUUGUGCCUAGAUAGAAUGGUUUGUCUUUAACCAAACCUUGGGUGCACAGAUAGAGCUGCAUGCACCAAGACAUCUCAAAUGUACACAUGUUGAGUAGGGAAGGCAUCAAGGGGCAUUUCGGUGAUUUCUCCUUGAGGAUUAUGAAUGAACACAAUUUUACUUGAGUGGCGUAUCAGAGAGUCGGAGCUGGCCAAGCGGGCCGAAACCCGGUUCCUUGGAAGUCCAAAUUCUCUGGUCCGUUACAGUUGGUAUCAGAGCAGUUUCGGUUCAGACGGGAUUGUGCGUAUUGGUAACUCAUCAGCGUUCUGCUCGUGCGGUGAUCACUGGUAACAUUUUUUACCUGUAGUUUUAUUUUGAACUACGGGACGAAGUUCUUUUUAAGGAUUUAAUGGGGUAACAAGCCAAAGUUUUUCUUCUCGGGUUUAACUUAACCCAUUAGUCGAAUUCUGCACCUUGAGUGCCUAUAAUGAUAUUCAUGUAUUUUUAUCACUGAAGUUGCCUCAAAUAAUAUGUGUUUGUGCCUAGAUUGAAUGGUUUGUCUUUAGCCAAACCUUGGGUGCACAGAUAGAGCUGCAUGCACCAAGACACCUCAUAUGUACACAUGUUGAGUAGGGAAGGCAUCAAGGGGCAUUUCGGUAAUUUCUCCUUGAGGUAAAAUAAAUAUUGUACAUGGAAAAGAAGAGGGGGGAUGUUUUCUUUUCUUUUUCCAGGGUUCUCUUUCUCUUCUUCCCCUAUCAUUUUGCUUUUAUCACUAAAAUUUCUCUAUGAAACAAAGUAAUGAACUUUAGAAAUUGUUCUUAAAUGUUAAGAAUCGAAGAGUAUUAUAGCUACAGAAUCAUCAUGCUAUUGUUGUUGUAGAGCUCUUGAAGAAUGAGAUGCAAUUGCGGUGGGGAUUUUACAAUGAAAUUGUUGUUUAGCAAAUUUCAUGGAUUUUCAUCAUGAUCCAUGUACUUUGGCUAUAUGAGAAAAUGGGUUUUAAUUAUCACCUUGAAUUAUUGAUUUAUGGGUUGAAUUAGGUGAAACCUUAAAGCUAGGGUUCAUGUUAAAAAUUUGGGUUUUUUUAUCUAAUUCAAUGUUAAAUCUUUAAUUCUUAAUUACUAUUCAAGCAUAGGGGCUAGUGUCUUUAGUCUCUCUAAAUUCAUGUUUUAAUUUAUAUUAAUGCUCUACUACUUCUCCAAAUUAGAUACUUGUUGGAUUUUGGUGUACAUUGGUUUUUCAUGCAAUUUAAUUAGUGUAUGGCUAA